UACGAAGGGGGCUAGCGUUGCUCGGAAUCACUGGGCUUAAAGGGCGCGUAGGCGGGCUGUCAAGUCAGAGGUGAAAUCCCACAGCUUAACUGUGGAAGUGCCCCUGAUACUGACGGCCUCGAGGGAGGUAGGGGCGUGUGGAACUUCCGGUGGAGCGGUGAAAUGCGUAGAUAUCGGAAGGAACGCCGGUGGCGAAAGCGAGUCUCUGGGCAGCAUCUGACACUGAGGCACGAAGGCCAGGGGAGCAAACGG
rnacentral:rRNA from 1 species